GCCCUUGAUUUUUGUAUCCAAAAUUCGUCAAACCUGAAUUUUGACCCCCAAAUUUUCGAAGCUCUCAUUUUCGGCGACCCUCGGUUCUAACCAAACGAAGAACACUUUCCUGCGCAGAAUCGAAUUUUCACCCCAGAUUUUCGAAGCUCUCAUUUCCGGCGGCCCUCGGUUCUAACCAAACGAAGAACACUCUCCUGCGCAGAAUCGAACUUUCACCCCCAGAUUUUCGAAGCUCUCAUUUCCGGCGACCCUCAGUUCUAACCAAACGAAGAACACUCUCCUGCGCAGAAUCGAACUUUCACCCCCAGAUUUUCGAAGCUCUCAUUUCCGGCGACCCUCGGUUCUAACCAAACGAAGAACACUCUCCUGCGCAGAAUCGAACUUUCACCCCCAGAUUUUUGAAGCUCUCAUUUUCGGCGACCCUCGGUUCUAACCUAACGAAGAACACUCUCCUGCGCAGAAUCAACACACGGUGGGUACAAAUAUGAGAAUCCAAUUUUGAAUCUGUAAAUAUGCAGCUGAUUAUCUUAAAGUGUGCACUCAUCAAUUGAGCUACCAGAUGGCUCGGAUCGGAUGUAACAUCUCCAUACGUGCCUCCAACUGCUGGCAGGAGUAUACGUCAGAUAAAUGUGUUGAAAGAUGAAGUAGAAGCUGGGACCUUAAUCAUGACUACAACUCACAAGCUAGUAGAAGAAGGAUUCCUUGAUGACCCUUGUUGUAGUGGGAUUCGCUAGCCAAAGAAGAAGAAUUGAGAAUGAAGGCAGCUAAAGAUUGUGGUGCACCACUGAUUGAGAAUGAAGGCAGCUAAAGAAGCUACAGAUCUCGAGAAAGCAGGACAACACUAACAUGCGUGUACCACUGAUUGAGAAAAUUUUGAUGGAAUUGUGUGGGAGAAGAGAUGAGAGAAAAUUUUAACGAAGGGGUUUUUAUGUCUUUCUUAUUUAUUAUCUAGGGUUAGUAAUUAGAUAUCAAACACAAACAUUGUGUGACUAAUUAAUUUGUUUAACGAAUCAAACUCAAAAAUCUGAUUAA